CUCCGAUCUAAUCCCAUUCCAGUCCAUCAUUUGAUCCCUCCCCCUGCACUCAAAGCCAGUCCCUUCUUUCUCUUCUACACUAUCACUCGCACUACCGCCCCUGGGAGUGACCAGAGACGGUAGGCUAUGCCCCCUGUCCGCAUUGGACGGACCUUUCGUCUGGUCCCUCCCCAUGUGGGCACUAAGUUGAUCCUGCCCGUGUAGAUCACAGCUUCCUCCGCCCCCUUGAGUCAGGUAACACUGACGUAAUUCUGAUAAAGGAUACAACGUUCCGCCUGAGGGGUUUGGAUACGGGGGAGGGGGACGAGACAACGAACUUUCACUCUCUUGUUGUUUGUCUUCUUUUGAACUGAGCGCGGUCGGCUCAGCCGGCGCCAUCCCGCCAACGGUCAUUGGCGGCUCCGUCUCCUCUCGGCCCCUGCAAGAAACUGCUCCCAAACCCCCAUCGGACCCGACCGGGUCCUGUGUCUCACCUCCUCCGCUGAGACCCAAAAGGCUCUUCUCCGCGUCACGGGCACGCCGGGCAGCCACCCUCAGCAGACAGAUCACGUCGGGGUCACCAUUGUUGCAUGUAGUCUCCGUUCGCUCGUCCGGUGUUCGUCCUCUGUCCACAUGUAGGGCUUACUGCUGGGC
rnacentral:lncRNA from 1 species